AUGCAGUCGAGCGGCAGCACGGGUACUUGUACCUGGUGGCGAGCGGCGGACGGGUGAGUAAUGCCUAGGAAUCUGCCUGGUAGUGGGGGAUAACGCUCGGAAACGGACGCUAAUACCGCAUACGUCCUACGGGAGAAAGCAGGGGACCUUCGGGCCUUGCGCUAUCAGAUGAGCCUAGGUCGGAUUAGCUAGUUGGUGAGGUAAUGGCUCACCAAGGCGACGAUCCGUAACUGGUCUGAGAGGAUGAUCAGUCACACUGGAACUGAGACACGGUCCAGACUCCUACGGGAGGCAGCAGUGGGGAAUAUUGGACAAUGGGCGAAAGCCUGAUCCAGCCAUGCCGCGUGUGUGAAGAAGGUCUUCGGAUUGUAAAGCACUUUAAGUUGGGAGGAAGGGCAUUUACCUAAUACGUAAGUGUUUUGACGUUACCGACAGAAUAAGCACCGGCUAACUCUGUGCCAGCAGCCGCGGUAAUACAGAGGGUGCAAGCGUUAAUCGGAAUUA
rnacentral:rRNA from 1 species